rnacentral:misc_RNA from 1 species
UUGUUUUCACUUCAAAUUGUGUGUGUUUUAUAUUAACAGAUGAACUUUAUUAUGCAAAUACAAGUUUUCAGAGUACUAUCUAUAUACCUCAGGCACUUUGCUAGCCAAAUGCUGGCGAGGACAAAUUAUUGACACUCUCACAGACACAAAACACACACAAUUUGAAGUGAAAACAAUUGCCUAAAUAUCUAUGGGAAAUAUCCCGCCAUACUCUCUUCAGACUAUCUAGCAAAUAUUUAGAAACCAAGCCGUUCUAGAAGGAAGUUGCCAUUCCCCGGCAAAAAUAUGCCUAAAACAAGGAGAGCAGUAAGGAGUACCCACAUCCAUGUUUCCAUCCUUCUCUUACCACGGUUACGAAGUGGCGGAGGCAUGGAUUUUGACUUGGUCUGCUUUGUGAAAGGCAAUGGCUUUUGAGACCUCUUUGUCACUGUCUUGGGCUUCUCACUUGUUUCAGACUCCUUGGUUUCAAUUGGAGGUUCAAAACCUUGAGAAAAGUCUCCCUCAUUGACAGCAUUCACUUCUUCUGCUAAUGCCUUCCUUUUCUCCUUCUUUAUUGCCCUUUUCUCCCUUUCCUUCUCUUUC